rnacentral:rRNA from 1 species
AUUGAACGCUGGCGGCAGGCUUAACACAUGCAAGUCGAGCGAGCGGCGGACGGGUGAGUAAUGUCUGGGAAACUGCCUGAUGGAGGGGGAUAACUACUGGAAACGGUAGCUAAUACCGCAUACCAUCAGAUGUGCCCAGAUGGGAUUAGCUAGUAGGUGGGGUAAUGGCUCACCUAGGCGACGAUCCCUAGCUGGUCUGAGAGGAUGACCAGCAACACGGGAACUGAGACAGGGUCCGGACUCCUACGGGAGGCAGCGGUGGGGAUGAUGGCACAAGGGGCGCAAGCGUGAUGCAGCCAUGCGGCGUGUGUGAGGAAGGCCUUCGGUUUGUAAAGCACUUUAAGGGAGGAGGCGUUACUCGCAGAAGAAGCACCGGCUAACUCCGGGCCAGCCGCCGCGGUAAUAC